AAAAUACAUGAUUCCCUANUACUGCGAGUGAAGAGGGACAGCUCAAAUUUUAAAUCUAUCGGGUUUUACCUGAUCGAGUUGUAAUUUGAAGAAGCGUUUUCUGCGUAUUUGGUCAGCCUAAGUCCUAUUGAAUGAGGCAUCAUGGAGGGUGAUAAUCCCGUCCGGUUGAUCAUUUGCGUUUUACGAUACGCUUUCUAAGAAUCAAGUUGUUUGGGAUUGCAGCUUAAAAUGGGAGGUAAAUUUCUCCUAAGGCUAAAUAACGGCGAGAGGCCGAUAGCGAACAAGUACCGUGAGGGAAAGAUGAAAAGAACUUUGAAAAGAGAGUUAAACAGUACGUGAAAUUGUUGAAAGGGAAACGAUUGAAGCCAGUCGUACCUUCGGGUAAUCAGCCUUUCGGGUGCGAUUCUGUGGAGUGUGAGGAGCUUAAACACCUUCAUGUUUUGCAUAUUCGUACUCUUGGGUGUACUUGCCCGUGUGGUUGGUUAACAUCAAUUUUGGUGGUCAUAAAAUGACUGGAGGAAUGUAGCUUCGAUCUUGUAUUGAAGUGUUAUAGCCUUCGGUAGAUGUGAUGAUCGAGAUUGAGGAUUGCAACGGAUACCCUUCGGGGCUACCUGUCUGGUCUCUGAUCGUUGCUCUGGUGCCGAAAGCUUGCUUACGGUUAUCAAAGUCGAUGGUCAAUAGGUUAGAAUGGGUUAAAUUCGUUAAGGAUGUUGACGUA
rnacentral:rRNA from 1 species